rnacentral:tRNA from 1 species
UCGACGCGGGCGCCCGGCCGGGCGCGGCGGCGCUCGACCCGCUGGACCCGGCGCUCGGCGCGCUGGAGCCGGA